ensembl:lncRNA
AUGGAGUGGAGUCGGCCGUGAACGUCCCUCUUUCUCCCUCGCGCUCAGGCUGGGAGGCAUGCUGACAGCACUCUCUGAAAGGCAGUCAUUUUCUCAAAUCUGCGUUGCGUAAGCAGCCAUAAAUCCUGGAGUUUUGUCAUCACCGGGGACUAAGUGGAGGGCCUGGAAAAGGGGGGAGAGGAGAGGAAAGGAGAUUGAGUUACAGUGGGGAAAGCAUAGAGGAGGAGGAGGAGAGGGGGGAAGAGAAGAGAGGAGGAAAGGGGAGAGUGAAGGAGCAGAGAUGAGAGGAGGGAAGAGGAGAGGAGAGGAGAGGAGAGGAGAAGGGGAAUGAGAGGAAAGGAGAGGAGAGGAGGAAAGAGGAGAGGAGAGGAGAGGAGAGGAGAGGAGAAGGGGAAUGAGAGGAAAGGAGAGGAGAGGAGGAAAGUAGAAGGCUUAAAAAGGAGAAGAAGAGAUAAGAAAAGAUGAAUAGGAAAGGAGGAAAAAGGAAAUCACAGGAAAGGUCAAGGACAAGACACAAAGAGUUUGGAGAACAGAUGAAAUGGAGGGAGGAGAUGAGAGGAGAGGAGAGGAGGUGGAGGAGAGGAGAUGAGAGGAGAGGAGAUGAGAGGAGGUGGAUGAAGAGGAGAUGAGAGGAGUUGGAGCCUCCAGAAGGAGAGAUGAAAGGACAGGAUGGGAGGAGGUGAAUUGACUAGUGAAAACAGGGGGAAAGGAUGAGAAGAGAG